rnacentral:rRNA from 1 species
CCCUUGUAGUCCACGCCCUAAACGAUGUCAACUAGUUGUCGGGGAUUCAUUUCCUUGGUAACGCAGCUAACGCGUGAAGUUGACCGCCUGGGGAGUACGGCCGCAAGGUUAAAACUCAAAGGAAUUGACGGGGACCCGCACAAGCGGUGGAUGAUGUGGAUUAAUUCGAUGCAACGCGAAAAACCUUACCUACGCUUGACAUGCCAGGAACUUUCCAGAGAUGGAUUGGUGCCCGAAAGGGAACCUGGACACAGGUGCUGCAUGGCUGUCGUCAGCUCGUGUCGUGAGAUGUUGGGUUAAGUCCCGCAACGAGCGCAACCCUUUUCCUUAGUUGCUACGCAAGGGCACUCUAGGGAUACUGCCGGUGACAAACCGGAGGAAGGUGGGGAUGACGUCAAGUCCUCAUGGCCCUUAUGUGUAGGGCUUCACACGUCAUACAAUGGUCGGUACAGAGGGUCGCCAACCCGCGAGGGGGAGCCAAUCCCAGAAAACCGAUCGUAGUCCGGAUUGCACUCUGCAACUCGAGUGCAUGAAGUCGGAAUCGCUAGUAAUCGCGGAUCAGCAUGUCGCGGUGAAUACGUUCCCGGGUCUUGUACACACCGCCCGUCACACCAUGGGAGUGGGUUUUGCCAGAAGUAGGUAGCCUAACCGCAAGGAGGGCGCUUACCACGGCAGGGCUCAUGACUGGGGUG